UACGGGGGGAGCAAGCGUUGUUCGGAUUUACUGGGCGUAAAGGGCGCGUAGGCGGCCUCUGCAAGUCGACUGUGAAAUCUCCGGGCUUAACCCGGAACGGUCAACCGAUACUGCAGGGCUAGAGUGCAGAAGGGGCAACUGGAAUUCUCGGUGUAGCGGUGAAAUGCGCAGAUAUCAGGAGGAACACCGGUGGCGAAGGCGGGGCUCUGGGCCGUAACUGACGCUGAGGAGCGAAAGCGUGGGGAGCGAACAGG
rnacentral:rRNA from 1 species